rnacentral:lncRNA from 1 species
UGAGAAGGGAAGCACUGGACAUGCAAGAGAGCUAUGCCAUCUUCUUCCUGCCAUACUGCCACGACUGCAAGAAGGAAAGCCACUCAAGCUGAAAAAGAAGGUGGUGGUUGCGGAGAAGUGUCUGUGAGGAGCUCUCAGCUCUGGAAAGGACUCACUGGUCUGAAAUAGCCCGGGACUGUUGAUCUCCAGGUCAUGCUACAAGAAGCAUCCUUCUGCUCACACUGGUGAUGACUGUGAUGUCUGCAGAAAAAGAAGAAUUUGUGCGAGCUCUGUAACAAGUGAGGGGAGAGUGUGGUCGCCUGCUAUUACAAAAUCCAUAGGAUCUGUGGAAGGGGAACAGUCCUGGGAGAAGACUUCAAGUGAUGCAACUAGAUGGAGUCUGCUCACACCAGAGACCAAGGGGCACAGUCUUCCCAAAUCCUUAAUAUACAGAGACGUGCUCAACUGGCUGCUGGAAACCUGCUCUAAUGGCAGGACCCCAAUAUCUGGGAACUUCUGUGUUCUUCCAAAGUGGUAUGAAGAAGGUGUAACAGACACCACGAUACUCUUCCAGUGUGUUCAGGCAUAUUGCAGGUGGGCUGACGGUUGCAUUUUGUGAACUACUGCCCAAU